rnacentral:rRNA from 1 species
GAUGAACGCUGGCGGCGUGCCUAAUACAUGCAAGUCGAGCGAACAGACGAGGAGCUUGCUCCUCUGACGUUAGCGGCGGACAGGUGAGUAACACGUGGAUAACCUACCUAUAAGACUGGGAUAACUUCGGGAAACCGGAGCUAAUACCGGAUAAUAUAUUGAACCGCAUGGUUCAAUAGUGAAAGACGGUUUUGCUGUCACUUAUAGAUGGAUCCGCGCCGCAUUAGCUAGUUGGUAAGGUAACGGCUUACCAAGGCGACGAUGCGUAGCCGACCUGAGAGGGUGAUCGGCCACACUGGAACUGAGACACGGUCCAGACUCCUACGGGAGGCAGCAGUAGGGAAUCUUCCGCAAUGGGCGAAAGCCUGACGGAGCAACGCCGCGUGAGUGAUGAAGGUCUUCGGAUCGUAAAACUCUGUUAUUAGGGAAGAACAAAUGUGUAAGUAACUAUGCACGUCUUGACAGUACCUAAUCAGAAAGCCACGGCUAACUACGUG